CUAGUUGUAUAUGUUUUGUUGAU
rnacentral:snRNA from 1 species